GUCGCAUGCUUCUUUGCCAGUAAAGUUGUUCGAUAUGAUCCAGAGACAGGUCAACAACUUCAAGCUGUCAACAUCCCUGCUCUAAGAAUAACGUCAUGUUGUUUCGGCGGGAAGAAUUUGGAUGAACUUUACGUCACAUGUUCCGCUCACGAGGUCUCCGAGGAAGAGUUUAAGAAAUACCCAUUAACCGGUUCUAUUUUCAAAGUUAAAGGCCUUGGUGUGAAAGGUUCUAAGGCACAGAUUUAUGAAGGAGAAAUCAAAGAGGGUUAAUGAGGGCAAAAGAUGUUUUGUGCAAAAUUUAAUAAAGAAAUAUUCAUGCAUGCAUUCAUUGAACGUUUAACGUAUUUUUAAUUGAUUAUGAGAGUUUUAUAUUCUCUUUAGCCCCCCCCCCCAAAAAAAAAUGACGGUAGUGUAGAACCCUGCAGAAAAUAGACCAUAGCGUAAAAUUUCUCCAAACGGAAGAAUUGUUCUAAAGAAGAACCACAUUAUUUUGUUAAAAUAACAUUCUUAUCAUUCAAAAAUUGUACAUGCAGAAUAUUGAUAGUUUUGUUUGUUUUGUUUUUUUGAUUCGGUGCUUUUUUUAAUAUCUAUUUUCCAGAAUACAUAGAAAACAAUAGUAUUUCGGAGGUUAAAAUAGUCUUGAAUCAGGUCAUUUUUUUGCCAGUCGGUCGGAACCAACCAAUUUCUAAAGAUGGUCUUGCUAGCUGACGGUUUUAAUAUUAUACACAUAAAGCCAUUUUUACACUGAAUUGUUUUAAAUCUGUAUUUUCCCGUUUACCUGAACAUGACAUGAAGCAAAUGGCGGAUGAGACCAGUCGACAGGGGAUGCUUACUCCCCAAUGGCACCUGAUCCCACCUGCAGUUUUUUGACGUCUGUGUUUGUUCUGCUUAAAAUCGGUAUUUAUUUUAAUGGAAUUUUUUAGCUCCACUA